CGCCGACGCUGGUUUGGUUUCAUAGUGUGUCUCUGACAUGGUACAUGAGGAGUCCACGAUGUAUUGCUGUGUCUAAUACAGUAUAUUUGUUGGACUUUCCUCAGUUCGUUUAUCGGGAGACGAGUCGCGUGCUGCAGGUGGCGUGGGAGGAGAACAGGCAUCAGAGGCAGUCAAUAUAACAAGCGAGAUGAUGAUGGUGCAAAGCAAAUAUUCUUAGGCGGUGAAAAGUUUUUGGCAGGGAUACCAGGGGAUUCUAAUAAGCAGCAGGAUCUUCCAUGGCGUCCUUUCUUGUAAACCACAUAUUCCUUUGCAUUGAAGAUGCUGAAUUUCAGCCUGAACUUCUAAUGCAAUCACUGUUCUUCUCACGGGGUAGUAUUUCAUACAGGGUGAGUUCAAAAAACUUGUCGUGCAUAAAGGUUGCUCGGCUGUUUCUGAGGACAUGAUGGUGGUCCAGGAGAAGGCCUCUUGAGAGGACUGGAGGAUUUAUCUUCUGGUCCACUUGGGAAACUUUUCACACCAUCUCACGUCACUGACAAGGAUGAAGGAAGAUCUGAAGACAAUGACAAAAAUUCAAAGUUUGAGCUGGGGGGUGCCAGAUGAUCUUGUUGUGUCAGUUCUGUUAAGAAAUUAGUUGUUCGCACUUGAAGGGACAGAAGAAGCACGGGAUUGACCUUCCCCUUGUAGUGGUGAUCCUAUUAGUAGGGAUGAUAAAUGCAGGCAUAAAGCUUCAGGAAUCUGCAUGUGUCAGGCAAAAGUAGUGACCAACCUAAGUUGGGAGGUGCAGAGAAGGUUCUGGACGAUUUCCAGUGGAGAGAUUUACGGCUGGAAUUGAAGGUUUACAUGCAAUAAAACCUUGCUUGAGAAAUCAACUCACUGGAAUGGAAAAAUAAAUAAAGGUCAAUUAGGCGGUGGGAAACUGGGAAUGCAAAGUGGAUGAUGGAUAAUGUAGUUAUGUAGAGUUUUCUGUUAAAGAACCGAUUGAGCCUGUGGUAAAAGAAGAAGAGCUGGAGCACCUUUUCCAUUAUUUGCAGAUCUCAAGGUGAUGCAAUGGGGAGGAUCACUGCUGGAAUUCUCGGGCCCCUUAAGUUUGAUAAGUCUCUUAGCCAGGGAACCAUCGAACAGCUGAGGAACUUUGGAACUGGAGGCAUGGACAAUAGUUUUCUCAACUAAUAGGUCAGCAGGCAGAUCAGUUUUAGCAGCGUCGGCACCCCUAGGACCCCUGGGACUCUAAUGUUUCAUGCAGUCUUGAAUGCGGCGUCCAAAUAGGCCCGGAAAGCGACAAUCGCCUUGCAACGGAUCGACAUUUCAGAAUCCAAUGCCAGAUGUGCGUACCUAACCAACGCUGGAAGAUGAGAGCCACAAUGAUGUGCGCCAUUUCUCUUCUGUGUGCAUCAGUUACAUGUUCCUUGGGGUAUAAAGGUGGAAGGGUGGAAUAAAGGGUGGUCUUGGAUUAUGUUUUGUAACUGGAAGGGUGGGUAGCAGCAGAAAAAAUUGUAGCUGGAAGGAUGCAAUGUAGGAGUGUGCUCGAAAGUAGGUCAUUUGGAAUUGUGGAAUUGUGUAUGAUUUGCACAUAGUGUUUUGCGCAUAAGGUUUUAUUUUUCGCUUA